UCCAGACUCCUACGGGAGGCAGCAGUGGGGAAUAUUGCACAAUGGGGGGAACCCUGAUGCAGCGACGCCGCGUGGGUGAAGAAGUAUUUCGGUAUGUAAAGCCCUAUCAGCAGGGAAGAAAAAUGACGGUACCUGACUAAGAAGCACCGGCUAAAUACGUGCCAGCAGCCGCGGUAAUACGUAUGGUGCAAGCGUUAUCCGGAUUUACUGGGUGUAAAGGGAGCGCAGGCGGCACGCUAAGCCUGAUGUGAAAACCCGCGGCCCAACCGCGGGAGUGCAUUGGGAACUGGCGGGCUGGAGUACCGGAGGGGCAGGCGGAAUUCCUAGUGUAGCGGUGAAAUGCGUAGAUAUUAGGAGGAACACCAGUGGCGAAGGCGGCCUGCUGGACGGAGACUGACGCUGAGGCUCGAAAGCGUGGGGAGCAAACAGGAUUAGAUACCCCCGUA
rnacentral:rRNA from 1 species